GAGAGCAUAGCUCAAAUGGUAGAGCGCUUGCUUAGCAUGCAUGAGGUCCUGGGUUCAAUCCCCAGUACCUCCA
rnacentral:tRNA from 1 species